rnacentral:tRNA from 1 species
GCGAGGAUGGCGGAACUGGUAGACGCGCCAGACUUAGGAUCUGGUGUCUUUGACGUGCGGGUUCAAGUCCCGCUCCUCGCACCA